GACGAACGCUGGCGGCGUGCCUAAUACAUGUAAGUAGAACGCACAGUUUAUACCGUAGCUUGCUACACCAUAAACUGUGAGUUGCGAACGGGUGAGUAACGCGUAGGUAACCUGCCUGGUAGCGGGGGAUAACUAUUGGAAACGAUAGCUAAUACCGCAUAAUAUUAAUUAUUGCAUGAUAAUUGAUUGAAAGAUGCAAUUGCAUCACUACCAGAUGGACCUGCGUUGUAUUAGCUAGUAGGUGAGGUAACGGCUCACCUAGGCGACGAUACAUAGCCGACCUGAGAGGGUGAUCGGCCACACUGGGACUGAGACACGGCCCAGACUCCUACGGGAGGCAGCAGUAGGGAAUCUUCGGCAAUGGACGAAAGUCUGACCGAGCAACGCCGCGUGAGUGAAGAAGGUUUUCGGAUCGUAAAGCUCUGUUGUAAGAGAAGAACGGGCGUGAGAGUGGAAAGUUCACACUGUGACGGUAUCUUACCAGAAAGGGACGGCUAACUACGUG
rnacentral:rRNA from 1 species